CUUGCUCCCCCCCCGCUCGGCCGGGGCGCCAGCUGGCCCUCGCCUCGCCCACUUCGGUCAGGCAAAUGAGCAAUGGGCUGGCAGAGGAGGAGGAGAAGGGGACUGGAUCUGAAGGAAGGAGCAGGACGGGGAGGCCAAUAUGGCUCCAUGAGGGGCACGUUCCUAACCUGAAAAUCAAACAGGAAUCCUACAAACAGUGGAAAUAGGGACCGUUUGCUAAGGGGAUGUGCCAAUGAAUAGCACAAGCCUAUAGGGACAAAAUCAGAAAGGCGAAGGCAUGAAAUGAGUUAUGCCUAGCACGGGACAUAAGAUGAUGAGAUUGCAAGUGAGAGCGAAGAGGAUGGCAGUCCUCAGCCAGAAGGGCCUGAGAAAGUGGAGCCUCAUGGGACGUUCUCAAGAAGAUCCAAAUCGAAUGUUUCCCAGAAUCAGCAGAGCUCAGAAAAGCAGCCGCAAAAGCCUGCAGGGAAGAGACGGGCCCAAUUGAAUUGUAUGGACCCACAAUAUCAUAGAAAAGGCCUGGAAAAGUACCUGCUUCACUUCUGACCAAAGCUCUGCUGGAAUGAACUUCAGACCAAAGUCCUUGUGGAGCAAGUAAAUCCAACUCUUUCCUCUGAAGUCAGCUGAUCUGCAACUUCUUGAGGAUUGUCUUUGCUGCAGAGAUAGCUCUUCCCGGGUGUUGCCCCUAAUCUCAUCUCCCACACAAUCCUCUCACACAAGUUAAUUGUGCUUUCUGUCCCAGCUAGCUGGCCUGGCUACAGCUGCAGGUUGGAGCCUGGGUACUACUUUCACUUGGACUGGUAACCCGCCCAUUUGCAAUGAAGGUGCAGGCUAAAUCACUCGAGCGCUGAUAGUCUUCCAAUGCCUUCCCAUAAUUCCACUGUGUGCCCUGAAGGACUGACCAGUUCUCCCACAGUUCGCUAGGAAAAAAUCAGAGUGGCUGAUCUUACUGCAGCACCAAAAAACCAUGGGAUGGACUUCUAGAAGUCCUAGCAAUACAUGUGGGGGAGCGAAGCACCAAUAAGGACACUGUAAUGUGGGUGUGGAUUUAUAGGGUGGUCACUCAUGCCUGGCUGCUCAUGACCCAAGCUAACUGUGCAGUGAAGACAUACUCUAAGGAUUUUUUUGAGCUGUGUCUUAAACCAGUGGUUCUCAACCUUUCCAGACUACUGUACCCCUGAAUGAGACCCGCCGCACAGGGCUAAAGCCCGAACCCUGCUGCCCAGGGCUGAAGCGUGUAACUUAGGUUCAGGUGGCCCCAGGCAACUGCCCUGCUUGCCAUCCCCUAAUGCCAGCUCUGCACUUGCAACCCCCUUAAACCCGUCCCACGACCCCCGUGGGGGUUUCAGCCCACAAGUUGAGAAACACGGAUCUAGAUCAGUUGACGUACCCCCUGAAAGACCUCUGCGUACCCCAGGGAUACACGUCUGGUUAAGAACCACUGUGUUAAACCAUCUACAUUUGAAAAUGCCGAGUCACCAGCUGGGAGACGGUUCUGAAUGCAAGAAAAGCUUCAGUCUUGACUCAACACUUGACUGCCACCAGGGAACCAUAAAUGGGCUGCAAACUGUCUCCCUCUUCCUGGCAAGAACUCCCACAGUUUGCUGAACUCCCUGUAUGAUGAUUAGCUACCGGCUUAGGACUGGCUUAAAAUGAUGAUACUUUAUCUUCUACAAAAAUAUCAGCGUUGAGCGAGCGGCUAGAAAAUGAAAAUUAGGUGGUCCUGCAGUUAUCAGAAAAGCUGGGAUGGAACUGAAAGAGAUGCUUGAACAGGAGCCAGUGUUAAAGUUCUACGUAAGUGGAAGGCCUAUGAAAAUCUUAAUAGGUGCCUCACAAUUUGAUUUCGGGGAAGUCAUUUUGCAGUCGUGGGAAGCAAGUUGACAGUUUACAGUUUAUGCAUUCAGGUCACAGAGGUGCAGAAACUAGAUGCACAAAUUCAAACAGACCUGUUAGGGAUAUUGCUUAAGUGCUAAGAGAAAUUUUGACCGGCGAACAAAGGCUGAAACACAUCCAGAUCUCUGAUACCAUAUUACCUGUUCUAUAAGGAUGCAAAGUAUGACGAUAAAGCUACAGAUGUGAGAGAAAGCUGUGUCGUAGUAAUGAAGUGUUGCCGGCUGCUGCCCUAUCCAUACUUGCUGCGUUAGAGAAAGGAGCCGAGGAAGCGAGAGUUGGAGAUAAAACCUUGGUGAUCCCUUCUCACAGCAAGUGAAAGGCCACAAAGAGGGAAAACGCUGAAUGAAACAAUUAUGAAAGGACGACCAAAGGUAAUGCACAGCAGUCAGCAAGGGACUAUGGAGGUUACAGAUAUAAAUGUACAGCAGUGAAUGGCAUGAUUGUUCAUAGACAUAAAACUAUUAUACUCCCGUGAAUGCUACAGGGAGGCUAUUUGGGAAUCGUACGUCAAAGAAAUAAACCCAGAGGCUUCUCACAUGUGAACAAGCUAUUUGUUCUACUUGAGAUACAAUCUACAGACCCAUGAUUCCCUGUCUGAUACUACAGAGACUAUCAAAUGGUCAGAGAUGGGCCAAACCAGGGUAUUCCAGUGCAGGGUUUGGAAGUUUUGCGGAGGUUUGAAUCUGGAUCUGAACUGCUUGACUCGGGCCCGGCUAUACCAACGGACAUUACAGAUUCUCAUGUGGCAAAGAACAAGUGAAGUUUGUUACUGAUCAUUGCUCUUUGCACCCUGAAAUGUGAACAUUUGAAAGUAUCUUUGUAAGACAUGGAAUUCCAGAUAAAGACCCAGAUUUUUAAAGGUAUUUAGGCAGUGUUCCGUUCAGCAUUGCAAGGCCUAAGGCCCAGAUUUUAAGGGUAGUUAGGGUGUCUAACUCCCAGUGGAAGUUAAGCACCUAACUACCUUAAAAAAUCUGGGCUUAAGUGACUUAGCCCUGGUCUACACUAGGGGUGGGAUCGAUCUAAGUUACGCAACUUCAGCUACAUGAAUAACGUAGCUGAAGUCGACAUACUUAGAUCGACUUACCGUGGUGUCUUCACCGCGGUGAGUCGACUGCUGCUGCUCCCCCGUUGACCCCGCCUGCGCUUCUCGCAGCGCAGAGAGAGCACUCGGGGGUCGAUUUAUCGCGUCUAGACUAGACACAAU